CCUACGGGAGGCAGCAGUGGGGAAUAUUGCACAAUGGGGGAAACCCUGAUGCAGCGACGCCGCGUGCGUGAAGAAGUAAUUCGUUAUGUAAAGCUCUAUCAGCAGGGUAGAAAAUGACGGUACCUGAGUAAGAAGUCCCGGCUAACUACGUGCCAGCAGCCGCGGUAAUACGUAGGGGGCAAGCGUUAUCCGGAUUUACUGGGUGGAAAGGGAGCGUAGGCGGCAGUGCAAGUCUGGAGGUAAAGGUGUGGGCUCAACCCCCGGACUGCACUGGAAACUGUACGGCUGGAGUGCAGGAGAGGUAAGUGGAAUUCCUAGUGUAGCGGUGAAAUGCGUAGAUAUUAGGAGGAACACCAGUGGCGAAGGCGGCUUACUGGACUGUAACUGACGUUGAGGCUCGAAAGCGUGGGGAGCAAACAGGAUUAGAUACCCUUGUAGUC
rnacentral:rRNA from 1 species